AACGAACGCUGGCGGCAUGCCUAACACAUGCAAGUCGAACGGGAUCCAGGCUUCGGCCUGGUGAGAGUGGCGGACGGGUGAGUAACGCGUGGGAACCUGCCCAAUGGUCUGGGAUAACCGCGGGAAACUGCGGCUAAUACCGGAUAAGCCCGAGAGGGGAAAGAUUUAUCGCCGAUGGAGGGGCCCGCGUCAGAUUAGGUAGUUGGUGGGGUAAUGGCCUACCAAGCCUACGAUCUGUAGCNGGCCUGAGAGGAUGAUCAGCCACACUGGGACUGAGAUACGGCCCAGACUCCUACGGGAGGCAGCAGUGGGAAUAUUGGACAAUGGGGCAACCCUGAUCCAGCAAUGCCGCGUGAGUGAUGAAGGCCUUAGGGUUGUAAAGCUCUUUUGCCAGGGACGAUGAUGACGGUACCUGGAGAAUAAGCCCCGGCUAACUUCGUGCCAGCAGCCGCAGUAAU
rnacentral:rRNA from 1 species